rnacentral:rRNA from 1 species
UACGAAGGGGGCUAGCGUUGCUCGGAAUCACUGGGCGUAAAGCGCACGUAGGCGGCUUCUUAAGUCAGGGGUGAAAUCCUGGAGCUCAACUCCAGAACUGCCUUUGAUACUGAGGAGCUUGGAGUCCGGGAGAGGUGAGUGGAACUGCGAGUGUAGAGGUGAAAUUCGUAGAUAUUCGCAAGAACACGAGUGGCGAAGGCGGCUCACUGGCCCGGUACUGACGCUGAGGUGCGAAAGCGUGGGGAGCAAACAGG